UACGUAGGCAGCGAGCGUUGUUCGGAGUUACUGGGCGUAAAGAGUGCGUAGGCGGUUUUCUAAGUUUGGUGUGAAAUCUCCCGGCUUAACUGGGAGGUGCGCCGAAGACUGGAAGGCUUGAGUAUGGGAGAGGUAAGCGGAAUUCCUGGUGUAGCGGUGAAAUGACGUAGAUAUCAGGAGGAACACCUGCGGUGUAGACGGCUUACUGGACCAUCACGGACGCUGAGGCACGAAAGCGUGGGUAGCAAACAGG
rnacentral:rRNA from 1 species